GGAAUGGAACACUGGCUUGGAUUAGACUUGGCUAUCAUUAUAAGUCUGUUGACGAUUCCUAAUACAGUUGCAGAUUCCAAGGACAAGGACCAAAAGAACUCCAGCGGCGGAAAUCGCAAUGAUGAGAAUCAGUGUGACCCAGUGCUAUGGUCCUAAUCUACAAACGUAGUACCAAACACCGACCUUGGUACUGGCAUCUUGUCCCACUGUAUGGCUUUCCACACACACAGGCUCCGUUCUCCAUAGGGAAGCCAUUGCACAGUUCUGAGGCUGAAGCACCUGUCAACCACAAAUACUCCCAACUGAGGUUGGUCAAAACGAUGUCUUUACCACUAGCAAUGUUAGCAUCUGCACAUGACCAGAAUAAGUACUGUCCGCAACUUCCGGCGCUCCACUCCCCCGCCUGUCGGACAAGCUGUAUGGAGCAGUUCUUGCACUCCUCGGUCGGCAACGUCACUUCCUGGUACCGUCGUCUGUGUCAAUCAAUAGUUGCGUAAUAAUAAUAUUAUGUCCAUCAUUUCAGUUAACUCAUUCACUACUCUAGCUUUUAUAUAUAACUGUGCGUCUCAUAAAUACACCGGUAUAGCAGGGAAGCAAUAUUAUUGCAAAACCUGUAAAGCUGCUUUAAAAUGCCACUGUUUAUAGAAAUAAUGUGUGCUGCUGCUUUCAUUAUGAUAAUCAUAUAUUUACGUGCUUCAUGUGAAAAAUCAAUUAUUUUAGUCAUCAAAUGUAAAGUUACAUCUUUUUUCUAAAAUUGGUACAAAAACACCUAAUAGAAGAAUAACGCUCAAGUUUUUCAUCCAUUAUACUGCUUUUAAUUGUUGUUGGAAGCAAUGUGACGGAUAGAGAACCCGGAGCGGUUUGGUUUCUGCUGUUACUUUAUACAUACGUUGGGUCUGAGGAACCAAUGAACCCAUCUCCCAGGGUCAGGUUGUAGAUGGGCUCUUCAUUGGCGUCGAGAAGAUUUAGCUGGUACCCACCCUGUAAAAAACGUAAUGCUUGGGAAAUGGAUAAUGAAAACAUAAAUGAAAUAUACAAAACUAGUAUUUUUUAUGGGUAGUUUAUUUCCCGAUCUAAGCCACAAUCAUGUACACGGAUUAUUAUUGCUUGGAAAAUUAUUCAUUUUAAAAAUAAUGUUUUUAACGUCAUGUGACUGUGAUGAAACAUAACCAAAGUU
rnacentral:sRNA from 1 species